rnacentral:lncRNA from 1 species
AGAAAAGGGACAAAACUGAGGUGUCAUUCCAGACAGUGUGAUAGGUAUGUCAACAAAUGAUAGGUAUGUCCAACAGACACAUCCAAAUACACGCUUCCUAAAAAUGGAUCAAUAUUUUUUUAUUCAAGAAAUCUCUGUGAGCUGCUUUCCAAAUUGGCAAAAUCAGUUAUUUUGAACGGGUAGAAAAUCUUCAAAUUUUGAGGGUAAAUUGGAAGUUGAAGAACAAUCAAGUCAUUCACAGCAGGGUCUGAUAAGUCAGGAGGAUGAAUGAAUGGAAAGAAUGCUGUUGGUGUCCAAAGGUAAACCUGGCUUGCUUCUGGCAGGUGUCAUCUAAGGCACAUACAAUGUGACAGCUUUGAAGGGCAGAGGGUCUUGACAUUGACUCUCCACAAUGAUAUGGAGAUCAGUGUGAGUGCCGGCAUGUUGACUCCUGGGAGACUACUAAGCAUUUGCCACCUCUUCCAAGGUGGAGGCCCACAAAAAGGCUACAGAGUCAUUCACAGGUGUUGGCAACUUCUAGCGUCAGUGCAGCUCUCCUUACCUGCACAGCUAGAGACACAGACAAUAUUGGCAAUACAGUAUUCUUGUGGGAUUUGUUUGCUUCCAGCAUAACAGAUGAAUUUUUCUCCAGCAAACACAACAAUUCAUUUUCAACAGGCACCAGUUCCUCCUAAAUAUGGAUGAUUCACCACGUCUCAGUGUGGGUUCCCCCAGGAGCAGAACUUAAGACAAAGAUUUCAGUGCACGUAGUUUAUUUGGGACUUGAUCCCAAGGAGACUGGAAGCAUUGGUCAAGGAGGGACAGAAUGGGACAGGGAACAGGGAGAAGACAAAAUAAGGAUGUGUUGCCAAGUGAGUUACACUGCAGAUGACUGGUGCUUACUCCCAUGACAGAACUCUGGGGAGCCACGUCGAACAUGGACCUCAGAGUUACACAGCCAGGGGACAACGGAACUGAGGCAUGCAUUCUCCAGUCCAGUCAGUAGUAGAAGGCUUUUCUGCGGUGGGGAAUGGAACCCAGGCCAAGUGGGUUCUAGCUGCAGAGAAGGGGAUACACAACCUUAGUGAGAUGCCAUCCGCCUCAGUGUGUGCCCUAAGAAAU